UAGAGUUUGAUCCUGGCUCAGAUUGAACGCUGGCGGCAUGCCUAACACAUGCAAGUCGAACGGCAGCGCGGGCUUCGGCCUGGCGGCGAGUGGCGGACGGGUGAGGAAUGCAUAGGAAUCUGCCCAUGCCUGGGGGAAAACCCGGGGAAACCCGGACUAAUACCGCAUACCACGGUGACGUGAAAACCGGGGACCUUCUCGCCUGGCGCGGCCUAUGUCGGAUUAGCUAGUUGGCGGGGUAAAGGCCCACCAAGGCGACCAUCCGGCCUGGUCUGAGAGGAUGAUCGACCACACUGGGACUGAGACACGGCCCAAACUCCUACGGGAGGCAGCACGUGGGGAAUAUUGGACAAUGGGCGCAAGCCUGAUCCAGCAAUGCAUCGUGGGUGAAGAAGUGCCUUCGGGUUGUAAAGCCCUUUUGUACGGGAAGAAAUCAUCCGGGUUAAUACCCUGGGUGGAUGACGGUACCGAUAAGAAUACCACCGGCUAACUUCGUGCCAACAUCCGCGGUAAUACCAACGGUGCAAGCGUUAAUCGGAAUUACUGGGCGUAAACGUGCGUAAGUGGUUGUUCAAGUCUGUCUUGAAAACCCUGGGCUAUCCUGGGAAUGACGAUGGAAACUGCGUUACUGAAGUGAGGUAGAAGAUGGCGGAAUUCCCGGUGUAUUGCUGAAUGCCUAUGAUCUGGGAGAACAUCCGUGGCAAACCAUCCUCUGGACACCACUGACACUGAUGCACAAAAUCAUGCGGACAAACAGGAUACAAACCCUGGUAAUCCCCGCCUAACCA
rnacentral:rRNA from 1 species